CAAAAACAUUUUUUAAUGCACUUAUAUUAAAUAAAACCUGCUCCAUGUGUAGAUAAAAAGCCGCAGAAAAUUUACUGUGCUAAGGUAGCAUAAUCACUUGUCUUUUAAUUAAAGACUAGAAUGAAAGGUCCCACAAUUAAUAGCUAUUUUUAAUUUUGUUUUUUAAACUUUUUUUAAAAAUAAAAAUAUUUUUAUAAAUAUAAAAGACGACAAGACCCUAUUGAACUUAACUGAAGUUUGGCUGGGGAAGCCAAUUAAUAAUUAUCUUAACACACAUAUUUAUAUAAAUAUCCUUUAAAAGAACCUUGAUCAAGUUACCAAAGGGAUAACAGCGUUAUACUCUUUAAAAGCUCUUAUUAAUAAACCAGUAUACGACCUCGAUGUUGAAUUAAUUUUACUUACCCAUGCAAGAAUAGAUAAAGUAAGUCUGUUCGACUUUUAAAAAAUUACAUGAUCUGAGUUCAAACCGG
rnacentral:rRNA from 1 species